AUGACAAAGAAGAAUAGACCAUAUUAUCUGCUGGAUGGGGAGGAAGAGCCUACAAGGCCUAUUCAUGGCAACUGUAUUGGCAAGGUGAUGUUUUUAACGGCCGUUGCCAGGCCAAGGUGGGACAGUGAAGGAAACGUGACCUUCUUUGGGAAAAUCGGUAUCUGGCCAUUCAUGAAAGAAGUUCCUGCUCAGAGGAGAAGCGACAACAGGCCCAGAGGUACAAUAGAGACAAAGUCAAUAAAGGUCGACAGAAAAGUGAUGAGGGAGUUCCUAAUAGAGAAGGUCUUGCCAGCGAUACAAGCUGUUUGGCUGGAAAGUGAUGUUGGACAGACCAUCUACAUUCAACAGGAUAAUGCUAAGCCCCAUAUCUUGCCAGAUGACCCUGAAUUUCUAGCAGCUGUCUCAAAAACUGGACUUGACAUUAGAAUAAAACAACCUGCCAACAGUCCUGAUUUGAAUGUGCUUGACCUUGGGUUUUCCAACUUGUUGCAAUCCUUGACAGGUUGUCUGAGUCCUAAAACACUACAAGACCUUAUUGCAGGUGUUUCGGAGGAAUUUGAAGGCUAUGAGGUUUACAAGCUCAACAUAAUUUUCCUAACUCUACAGAUGUGCAUGAUUGAGAUCCUGAACCAUGCAAGGGAAAAUGGGUAUAAAAUACCACAUGUUAACAAGGAAAGGCUUGAGGGUCAUGGGCAGCUACCUCCAAGACUAACAUUCCCUAAAGAGGUUUAG
rnacentral:rRNA from 1 species